UACGGAGGGGACUAGCGUUGUUCGGAAUUACUGGGCGUAAAGCGCACGUAGGUGGUUUUAUAAGUCGGAUGUGAAAGCCCCGGGCUUAACCUGGGAAUUGCAUCUGAUACUGUCUGACUAGAGUAUGCUAGAGGGAAGUGGAAUUCCAGGUGUAGCGGUGAAAUGCGUAGAUAUCUGGAGGAACACCAAUGGCGAAGGCAACUUCCUGGGGCAAUACUGACACUGAUGUGCGAAAGCGUGGGGAGCAAACAGG
rnacentral:rRNA from 1 species